rnacentral:rRNA from 1 species
UUGGAGGGCAAGUCUGGUGCCAGCAGCCGCGGUAAUUCCAGCUCCAAUAGUGUAUAUUAAAGUUGCUGCAGUUAAAAAGCUCGUAGUUGAAUUUCGGGACCAUCAUGUCGGUCGUGCCUCGGUACGCACUGGCAUCGUCGGUUUCUCCCCUCUGACGAACCAUGAUGUCAUUUAUUUGGUGUUGUGGGGAAUCAGGACUGUUACUUUGAAAAAAUUAGAGUGUUUAAAGCAGGC